GUCCACGCCGUAAACGAUGAGAACUAGGUGUUGGGACGGUUAAUCGUCUCAUUGCCGCAGCUAACGCAAUAAGUUCUCCGCCUGGGGAGUACGGUCGCAAGAUUAAAACUCAAAGGAAUUGACGGGGCCCGCACAAGCGGUGGAGUAUGUGGUUUAAUUCGACGCAACGCGCAGAACCUUACCUGGUCUUGACAUCCCGGGAAUCUUUUGGAAACAAGAGAGUGCCUCUUUGAGGAGCCCGGUGACAGGUGCUGCAUGGCUGUCGU
rnacentral:rRNA from 1 species